CACACACUACGGCGUCUGCUGAAUGUGCCUCUCUGUUUGUCGGAGAUUUCGUUCUGAUGGGCGAGAGGCCAUUGGAGGAUCGGAGCUACAGGCUUCGCUAAGGGGAGAGGUCACAAGACUGUAUCUGAGGGCCCAGAGGUCUCUCAUGUGCUUGCCCAGGCUCCUGGCAACCCUGGCCCAAGGCCUGCCAGCAAUGUGUGGAUCGGCAGACCUGGACUGUGCAAGUAUGCACAUAUAUUAAAGUGCAUGUUAAGCAUCAGGUGUCACACCUCUAACCAGACAAACCAGCCCCGCGGAGCCAGCAGCUGACACUGGAGCCAAAGGACAAGCCAUCCGGCAGCUCUUGAGUCUUCUCUGGGCCACUCCUCACCAGACAAUAGGAGUGUACACUGAAGAGAUCUUUAGCUUCUAAUGUAAUUUUUCAGUUUAAUUUUUAAGUAAUAUGUUUACUGGGCUCAAAAAUCAGAAAAUGUUAAAGGUAAAGGGAAAAUUCCCCCUCUCAUUUCAUCAUUUUCUCAUUCCCUUCCACCAUUGCUCAUUAUUACUAGUUUUUUCAGAGUAUUUUCCCUAUUUCUUUAUGUAUACGUAAGCCCAUAGGAAAGUAAACUCUUAUUUCCCCACUUUCUACACAAAUUGAAGUACCUGAUUU